AGAAUCAACGCUGGCGGCGUGCCUAACACAUGCAAGUCGCACGAGAAAGGGGAGCAAUCCCUGAGUAAAGUGGCGCACGGGUGAGUAACACGUGAAUAAUCUACCUCCGAGUGGGGAAUAAACUGAGAGAAAUCUUAGCUAAUACCGCAUAACACUUACGAGUCAAAGCAGCAAUGCGCUUGGAGAGGAGUUCGCGGCCGAUUAGCUAGUUGGCGGGGUAAUGGCCCACCAAGGCGAUGAUCGGUA
rnacentral:rRNA from 1 species